rnacentral:rRNA from 1 species
UUUUAGAGUUUGAUCCCUGGCUCAGGACGAACGCUGGCGGCGUGCCUAAUACAUGCAAGUCGAACGCUUCUUUUCCCACCGGAGCUUGCUCCACCGGGAAAAGAGGAGUGGCGAACGGGUGAGUAACACGUGGGUAACCUGCCCAUCAGAAGGGGAUAACACUUGGAAACAGGUGCUAAUACCGUAUAACAAUCGAAACCGCAUGGUUUCGUUUUGAAAGGCGCUUUACGGUGCCGCUGAUGGAUGGACCCGCGGUGCAUUAGCUAGUUGGUGAGGUAACGGCUCACCAAGGCCACGAUGCAUAGCCGACCUGAGAGGGUGAUCGGCCACAUUGGGACUGAGACACGGCCCAAACUCCUACGGGAGGCAGCAGUAGGGAAUCUUCGGCAAUGGACGAAAGUCUGACCGAGCAACGCCGCGUGAGUGAAGAAGGUUUUCGGAUCGUAAAACUCUGUUGUUAGAGAAGAACAAGGGUGAGAGUAACUGUUCACCCCUUGACGGUAUCUAACCAGAAAGCCACGGCUAACUACGUGCCAGCAGCCGCGGUAAUACGUAGGUGGCAAGCGUUGUCCGGAUUUAUUGGGCGUAAAGCGAGCGCAGGCGGUUUCUUAAGUCUGAUGUGAAAGCCCNNGGCUCAACCGGGGAGGGUCAUUGGAAACUGGGAGACUGAGUGCAGAAGAGGAGA